AGGGUAGCUAUGUCCGGUCGGGAUAACCGCUGAAGGCAUCUAAGCGGGAAACCCCCCUUGAAACGAGAACUCCCUCGAGAGCCGUGGAAGACGACCACGUGGAUAGGCUGGAUGUGCAAGCGCGGCAACGCGCUGAGCUGACCAGUACUAAUCGCUCGAUCGGCUUGAUCG
rnacentral:rRNA from 1 species